UAGUUUACAUAUAAACCAGUCUCUCAUUCAAGAUCUCACAUAAGGCCAGAGAUGAUGCAACAAUGCCAUGAUGUCAGCACUUCAUGCCCAGCUGCUGUCUGGCAGAACCUAUAACAGUCUGACCUCAGAUAGCAACACCAGCCGAUGAAUUUGGGAGAAGACGGCAUAGACUAGAGUCCUUCAAGAACUGGAUUAGGAUUCACAGGGUAAGAGAGAAGAAAGGGACAACAGAGAAAGAAGUGACAAGGGAGACUCAUAAAGGCAUGUGCCACAAAUAACUGCACAGAGGAAGAAUCAUGAGCUGGAGAAGGGACCCUGAGGGAUUAUGUGGAAAUGGAAGAGGGUGGUGAAGGAUCAUGGAGAAGAGAAAGAGGGACUAUGAGCGGUUGCACAGAGAAGAAGGGAUGGGAACAAAAAUAGAUGCAUAAGGGACAUGUUACAAGGGAGGAAUGACAAGGCAAAGGAGAAAAAGGCUACAUAGGUGUGAUGACUCACUCAGAAGAGCCACCUAGGAGUAUGUGAAACUUCAUUCCCUUAUGUGUAAUGCCCCCUCAAGAAGGAGGGGUUAAUACAAUUCCCAUGUGUAUUCAAGGGGCUUUAUUUCCCAAUUCUGGGGUUGCCUUGGGUGGCUGGGCUUGCCUGCUGUUUUAUUCCUGAAACAGGCAGCACUAAAAACACCCAUCUUGCACAUGGCUCCAUGGAUGACUCUGUGGAUGAGUUUCAUCGAAGGAUUUGGUUGCCAGUGGAGAUAUUCAUUUCACACAUGCAAGCAUGGGAGCUGGUAGGGUGCAGGUGUGCAGCACAGCUCCAGCAGCUGCUACUGUAGCCUGUAGGCUGGAAUUGUACAUCCCUCAGCACCAUUCCAGUGGCCUCAUUGCCCAUAAUUAUGGAAGCCAUGGCCCAUCCGUAUCCUGCCCUCUGCAGCACCCAGUAGGGCAGAUGCCUCCCUGUGCAGCCCCACUCUACAGGAUCAAAGAGACUGUAAAAUAUGGAGUCAGAUGACGGCUGUCAACAGAGCAUCAGGCCCUGCUACUUCUGUUGGACUGAGACAUCUACAAAGCAGGUUUUGGGAGCGGACUCUCAACCAGUGGAGAUGGAAAAGGCUCCCAACAGCCAGUGCUCCCAGUUCUAGUAAUUGCAACCAACAUCUAAACACCACACAACACCAACUACAUCAUCCCAGCCAGGGCUUUGUCAAGCCAGGCCUUAAAACCCUCUAAGGACAGAGAUUCCACCUAGGAAUACAGAUUUUUUUAUUAACUAUAAAGUUCAAACUUCAAGAGCAGCUGAACUAUCGAGGACACUAGAACUUUGAAGACAUGGCUAACUAGGGCACUGAAGUUAAAUUAUGCACGCAUAAACCAUCUAAUAUACGGACAUGUUAAAGAUUUGUUGGCUAUGCCUUGGUGACUGCUACCCCUGACUUGAGUCAUCACUAGAAAAUAAAGUGUUCAGGCUUCAGUGGUUUCAUCGUUUACAGUGAAUUCCACUUCCUUCAUCAAGAUUUAGCACAGGGCCUACACAUCAUAUUAAUAAUUUACCUCUAGAAAACCUAUAUAUAGGCUUAACUCAGAAAAGAUCCAAAAUCAUUGUCCUGUCUAGUUCUUAGAUGACAUGCCUGUAUCACAGAAACACCAGCUGAGUUUCCAUGUUGGACAGUGUGUAUUCAGAUGGAAUCCAGGAUUGAAACAGCAGGGGUAUUGUGCUGUAAAUCGAAAUUGUGAUGUAUUGGCAGAGCUUCCUGGGGGGAAAACUUGCACAGAACCUCCCUGCACCAGCUCGUGCUCUCAGUUUCAUCAACACAAAAUAUAAGUACAGUCACCCCCAUUCCAAUCUCUGGUUUAAAAACAUGCACCAAAUUGUCAGUUAGGUUCAUUCAUAUGCUUAAUUUAAACACAUAAAUAGCCACUGUGCAUACAAGUUAGACAGAAAUUAUUAUAGAUAACAUACACAUGACUAAAACUCUGGUCUUAUUACUCUACCUGGUUACAGAAAUCAAUAGAAUAACACUGGUCUACAAUUUUUGAGAAGUCAUCUGCUUCAGAGA